UACAAAAGCUCUUUAGAGGUGGCAUUCUUUCCUACUACAGUGAGCAAUCAACAGAUUUGUGUUAUCAACAGCUUGUGUUGGUGUUAUUUGGGGAACCAGCAUUCAACAGAGAAAUUCAUUAAGCAUUGUGGAAUGUGAUACUAGGAGUUCUCCACAUGUGCCGUGUCCAUAUAUAGUAUCAAAAUCAAGAAGAUUCAAACCCAGGGUGCUAUACGUUUCCAUGAACUUCCCCUCAGAGCAAUCGGGAGCAGGGUGUGCCGGGAGAAGGACUCUGGGGUGUGGAUUUCAUGCUAGUCCUUCAACCUCAAUCAGCUUCUGGGAUUUCCACAUGGAAGAAGAUAUGACUCCCACUAACAAGAAGAAGACUGAUUCUGCCUCUAGGCCAAAUUCCACAACCCUUAUGAGAGAGAAGUGUAUGAAGGACUAAGGAAUAGAGAAGACACAGGUUUUGAACUCAUGAACUGGGUUCUCAUUAUUGGGUUCCUUACUUCCCAGCUUGGUAUUGCUGGCUUGGUAUUGCCAGCUGGUCACUGGGUGGUCAGGAUGGGGGAUCAUGGGGGCAGCACCCACAUAGGGAUGACACGUGGAGUGAAGUGGAAUGGAGUGUCCACCUGCCUGUGUCCACCCAGUGAGGCUGCGAUGAGCCCCUGUGGAUGGAUGGCUGGUGACACUUGGGAGCAGCCGCAGACAAGCUAGUCACUCAGAGACUUAGGGCCUCACUGGGGAGGCGUGAGAUUUCCUUCAGUCCAUGGAUGCCAAGUGAACACCACUCUGUGCCCAUAUGCAGCACUGACGACAAAGAAGACAGACCCCAAGAAAGGGGUGGUGGGGGUUACACCUUGCCAGGAAAGUUCCUGGGACUGGCGAUGAGCUAGACUCCACCAGUUGGCUGUGUGACUUGAGAAAGCAACUUAAUCUCUCCAACCUCAUUCAAUUCAUUCAAUGACUGCUUAUCAGGUACUCCCUGCAUGCCAACCAUUGUUAGAUACUUUUGAUGCAGCCUUUUCUACAAAAUAGGGUUUUUUACCAUCUACCUAAUAGGACUGAUGUUAAGUCCAUAAGACAUAAAGCAAUGACCAUAGUACCUGGCCCUCAAUUAAGAUGAGUUAUAAUCUCCUACUAACACACCUCUCCUUUUGGAAGUUGGGGAUUGGGGCGUGAUGGAUAAGAAGCAAGUCAAUUCAAA